UGAGCAACCUGCCCCUGGCCCUGGGAUAACCCCCGGGAAACCGGAGCUAAUACCGGAUACGAGACCGAUUGGCAUCUUUACGGUCUGGAAAGUUUUUUCGGCCAGGGAUGGGCUCGCGGCCUAUCAGCUUGCUGGUGGGGUAACGGCCACCAAGGCGACGACGGGUAGCCGGCCUGAGAGGGUGUCCGGCCACACUGGGACUGAGAUACGGCCCAGACUCCUACGGGAGGCA
rnacentral:rRNA from 1 species